rnacentral:rRNA from 1 species
AGUGAACGCUGGCGGUAGGCCUAACACAUGCAAGUCGAACGGCAGCACAGUAGGAGCUUGCUCUUACGGGUGGCGAGUGGCGGACGGGUGAGGAAUACAUCGGAAUCUACUUUUUCGUGGGGGAUAACGUAGGGAAACUUACGCUAAUACCGCAUACGACCUACGGGUGAAAGCAGGGGAUCUUCGGACCUUGCGCGAUUGAAUGAGCCGAUGUCGGAUUAGCUAGUUGGCGGGGUAAAGGCCCACCAAGGCGACGAUCCGUAGCUGGUCUGAGAGGAUGAUCAGCCACACUGGAACUGAGACACGGUCCAGACUCCUACGGGAGGCAGCAGUGGGGAAUAUUGGACAAUGGGCGCAAGCCUGAUCCAGCCAUACCGCGUGGGUGAAGAAGGCCUUCGGGUUGUAAAGCCCUUCUGUUGGGAAAGAAAAGCAGCAGGUUAAUACCCCGCUGUUCUGACGGUACCCAAAGAAUAAGCACCGGCUAACUUCGUG